AUUUGGCCUGUCCUCUGCUCCAUGGUGCUUCACAAAGAUUGCCUUCCUGCGCACACGAGGGGUCUGAUUAAUAAUUUACCUAGACGAUAUCCUUCUCCUGUCUCAAUCUCAAUCCCAAUGACAUGUUUACUUGUCUUGGACAACCCACCUUUUCCAGAAUUUAGGAUUCUUGGUGAAUUGGGAGAAAUUAGUUCUUCAACCCUCCAAAUGCAUGGAAUUUCUGGGAUUUCAAGUGGACUCUGUACAACAGAGGUUGUGUCUACCCAAAGACAAAAUGAUUUCGAUCAAGAAAGAGAUUAGACGACUUAUGAAUCAUACAACCAUUUCCCUCAGACAACUUGCGAGGAUCGUAGGGCUAUUGGCAUCAUCCAUACAAGCAAUCUUCCCGGCCCGUUACAUUGUCGGGCCCUACAAAGGCUCAAAGCCUCAUAUCUGCGCUCCGGACACUCGUAUGAAACCUGUGUUACACUGGACGAAGAUUCCAGAGAGGAGUUGACAUGCUGGCUAGCCCACAUGGAGGCGUGGAACGGAAGGGCGAUAUUUGGGUCUACGCCAGAUCUGGUCAUAGUCAGACACCAGCUUACAUGGCUGGGGCGCGCGUUGUGGAUCAGUUUCCACCGGUGGCAGAUGGUCCAACGAAGAAAUGUUGCUACACAUCAACUGCCUAGAACUGUUAGCGGCAUCCUUUGCCAUUCG